UCUAAUAUGGCAGAAUAGUGUAAUGAAUUUAAAAUUCAUAAAUGAAGUUUAUUUCUUUUAGAA
rnacentral:tRNA from 1 species